rnacentral:tRNA from 1 species
GAGAGUAUAGUUCAAGUGGUAGAGCAUAUGCUACUCACGCACAAGGUCCUGGGUUCAAGUCCCAGUACCUCCA